rnacentral:piRNA from 1 species
UCCACUGAGCUGCUAAUACGCAAGUUGCCC